UUUCCGUAGGUGAACCUGCGGAAGGAUCAUUAAAAAAUUGGACUCCAUUGGUGAGUUCAUUAAUAAUCCCUACCCUUUGUGAAUUUGUUUGUUUGAAUAAUUUUUUUUCCAAAAAAAAAAUUAUUGAAUGUCUUUCCCUGUUUUGGUGGAGCUGUAAAGUGAAACCAGGCAGGGGAAUGGCAAACAAUAAUUAUUUUUUGAAAAAAGACCUUUUUUAAAAUUAAACUUUUUGUAUUCAUUUGUCUAAAAUUAUUUUUAUAAUAUAAAAACAACUUUUGACAAUGGAUCUCUUGGUUCUCGCAACGAUGAAGAACGCAGCAAAAUGCGAUAAGUAGUGUGAAUUGCAGAAUACGUGAAUCAUCGAAUCUUCGAACGCAUAUUGCACUUUUUUAGUUUACUAAAAAAGUAUGUCUGUUUGAGUAUCAGUAAAAUAUUCUCAUAAAAAACAUUGUUUUUUUAUGGUUAUGAGUGUUUUACAACGAUAACAAGUUGUUUCACUUUAAAUUCUUUGUUAUCAAAAAAAUCAUUAAAAGCUAAUUUUAAAGAUUUUUUAAAAUUGGAUAAAAUUUUCCCGUAAAAAGGAAUAACCUAAACAAUUUUAAAAAAUUAAAAUUGGUUUGAUUUUUUUUGAAACCCAAAGGAAAAAAAAACGAAAUUAACUUGAUCUCAAAUCAGAUAAGAGUACCCGCUGAACUUAAGCAUAUCAAUAAGCGGAGGAAAAGAAACUAACUAGGAUUCCCUCAGUAACGGCGAGUGAAGCGGGAAGAGCUCAAAUUUGAAAUCUUCAAGGUUUUACCUUGACGAAUUGUAGUUUAAAGAAGUGUUUUCUGUUGGAGUUUUGGUAAAAGUCUUUGGAAAAGGACAUCAUAGAGGGUGAGAAUCCCGUAUUUGACCAUUAUCUCCAGCUUUGUGAUACACUUUCAAAGAGUCGGAUUGUUUGGGAAUGCAGUCCAAAAUGGGUGGUAAAUUUCAUCUAAAGCUAAAUACUGGCGAGAGACCGAUAGCGAACAAGUACCGUGAGGGAAAGAUGAAAAGAACUUUGAAAAGAGAGUUAAACAGUACGUGAAAUUGUCAAAAGGGAAGCGUUUGACACCAGUGUUGUUUUCUCGAAAAUCAAUUAAAAAAGGCCGGAUUUUGUGUUGUAUUGACUUUAUCAGCUUUCUGCACUUUUUCCUUGUCUUUUUUAAUGCACUUUUCGUUUAACAAGUCAACAUCAAUUUCUUUUGUUGUAGAAAGGGUCAUUGGAAGGUGGCUUUCUUUUCGGAGAAAGUGUUUAUAGCCUUUGGCCUCUGCAAUCGGAGAGAUUGAGGUCUGCAGCGUAGAUCCUUCGGGGUUAGAUACAUUUGUGCUAAGUUAUAGCCUUUCAUAGACAACUUGUUGACUAUGAUCAGUCAUGUAGCUUACUCGCUUAUGCUAUUUUACCUACGCUUAGGAUGUUGAA
rnacentral:misc_RNA from 1 species